rnacentral:lncRNA from 1 species
CAAGCUGCAAGUUUAUAAUUAACCCUCUAUCCUCAGAUGAAGUUCCCAACUUAAAAAGCAAGCCAUUGUACAUUUGUAACAACCUUCCAUUAAAAUGAAAUGUCCAUCAUUUAGCUUAAACACACUAUUAUCAAAAAGUUAAGGUGACGAGAAGGCUAAAAUGAAAUGUCCAUCAGUUAGCUUAAACACACUAUUAUCAAAAAGUUAAGGUGACGAGAAGGAUGACGAUGACGACGACAAGAAUAAAAAGAAAGAAAUAAAGAAGGAAAGAAAGAGAGACAAAGAAUAUUAGUUUGGCUCACAAGUCAAAGGAUCUGAAAGUUACAGAUUUCAUGCAUCAAUGGUGAAACUGACAG